rnacentral:rRNA from 1 species
CCGGCGACCGGCGCACGGGUGAGUAACACGUAUCCAACCUGCCUCAUACUCGGGGAUAGCCUUUCGAAAGAAAGAUUAAUACCCGAUGUUAUAGUCCUACCGCAUGAUGGGAUUAUUAAAGAAUUUCGGUAUGGGAUGGGGAUGCGUUCCAUUAGUUAGUUGGCGGGGUAACGGCCCACCAAGACAACGAUGGAUAGGGGUUCUGAGAGGAAGGUCCCCCACAUUGGAACUGAGACACGGUCCAAACUCCUACGGGAGGCAGCAG